UGAGCCUGGUAUUUAUGUUGACGAUUUGGCUGUUUGGCAAGUCAUUCUUACUGAAGACGAAGUAAAAAACCUUUACGAACAAACAAAAGAGUGAUUGUUUUUUGACAAAUGCUAGACUAAAUUUGAUGUAAAGUGCACUUAUCGCUGAAAAGAAAGCAAUAUUCUCUAUCGUAGAAUGCAAUAAAAAGAAAAUGAAACAUUUGUUAGUGUUUCUUAAAGGCCACUUUAUCUGGAUAUGGCAAUUAAUUUAUCUAGAUAUUAAUUCAAAAAGACUUAAAAUAUCUCAAUUAAGUUAUUAAAGUUAAGUUGAUAUCAACACGUGACAAGUUCCAGUAGCAGUAAUUCAAUAAAUAUUAUUCUUAUGUUGUUUUUGUAAUUAGGUUAGAGGCAAUCUUGGCCUAGAUACCUUUUUAAUAAAAAAGGAAAAGAAAAAAUGUUGUACUGGACACCUAAGAGCAAAACUAAUUUGAGAAUACAUUAUAGACCAUUUCUAACUCAAGAUCACAUCUUGUCACAUCUUUAAACUCGUGCACUAGAGUUAUUCAAUGGUUGGUUUCCUGUUACAUAGUAGCAAACAAUUCAUACAAAGUUUAUGACUAUUGGGCCAAGGGUCUAAUAAACGUAUCUUCAGAGCAUAAUAAACACUCCUCAGAGCAUAAAACGUCAGAAUAAGGUUCCGAAAGAACACGAUGGAAAAUAUAUACCCAGUUGUGAGUCGAAAUAGGUCAAUCAGAAAAACGCAAGCACAAGACCGGUAUGGUUGACCAAUCAGUGCCGCGAGCCUAUAGUGUUGUUGCUAGAAAGUAAGGUGAAUCAUUUUUUGUAUGAGGAUGAAAUGCUUGACAAUUUCUCAAAACGAUGCAAAAAAGGCAAAUCGUUUCAACGGAAAAGCAGGCUACCCUCCUUUAUUGAAAUGGCCUGAUUUGAAUUCACAAGAUUUUAAUAGGAAUUCAAGCAAAAUACACAUUUAUUAAAGGUAUGAAAAACUAGAAGCCAGUUGCAAUUCAUUUAAGGCUACUAGGAAACGGUACCACUAGCUUGAAUUGUCGCUAAGUGAUGGUAAUCAAGAGACGAUGAAAAUGGCUCAAUUGGGGAUAAGAAUCAGGGUCGGUAACUGUUUGCGAAAGGUAAAGCCCUCUUUCAUUUGAACGCUUGUAUGUGGAAGAAGAUGGGAAUUAGUAAAGCGUUUAGUAAAGCGAAAUUCUUUGCACACUUCAAAUAAUUUUAUGAUAUGACGUCUCUGGUGAUAACACAUUCAUGAUUUCUGCCAAGCUACUUUAACUUUUACCAGCAAGCUCAAAAUUACUCUUCAGCCAAUAUUUUUGGGCAAUUUGCACAGCAGAGCACUGAGAGUGUGGUUGAAAACACGUUAAACUUGUUUGAAAACAUGUAUCGUGGUCAUAUGGUGCAAAUAACGCAUGAGAACCUGUGAAAACAUUGGAAACUAUAAAACCCUCCUCUCGCUCGCAAAAAAUUACUGAUCGACAAAUAUUCGAAAGUGAACAUUCAAGUUUCAAAAUGGCAAGACAAGCUUUAUUGAUGUGUUUCUUUCUGCUUGCUGUGGCAACGUUCUGCUCUGCACAGCAAAUGCCAGGAGGAAUCGUGGAAAUGACAAAAGAUGAGAUUGAAAAAGAUGACAUUCUCCACGCAGGAGUGACUUUUGCAGUGACAGAAUACAAUUCCAAAACCAACUCGAGACUUAUUGCUACAGAAAUUUUACAAGCCACAAGACAGGUUGUUGCUGGCAUCAAAUAUGUAGCCCUUGUUGAGUUGCGACCACGGCUUUGCGUGCAUGAUCCCAAACUCAAGAUUGCUCCAUGCCCACCACAGCUAAACUUGCCAACCAGAUGUGUGUUUGACAUCCUUCAUCAAGCUUGGAUGCCUUUGAAAUACACAGUUCUGUCUACAAAGUGCUUUAGAGCGCAAUGAACAUAAAUCUUAAGAAUUUGUCUGUAAGCAAAUUAUAAUUCAUGAAGAAGAAAAGUAA